CCUACUGGCGGCAGCAGUGAGGAAUAUUGGUCAAUGGGCGGAAGCCUGAACCAGCCAAGUCGCGUGAGGGAAUAAGGCCCUACGGGUCGUAAACCUCUUUUGCCGGGGAGCAAGGGCUGGGACGUGUCCCGGCCCGGAGAGUACCCGGAGACAAAGCAUCGGCUAACUCCGUGCAAGCAGCCGCGGUAAUACGGGGGAUGCGAGCGUUUUCCGGAUUUGUUGGGUUAACAGGGUGCGUAGGCGGGCUUUUAAGUCAGCGGUAAAAAUUCGGGGCUCAACCCCGUCCGGCCGUUGAAACUGGGGGCCUUGAGUGGGCGAGAAGAAGGCGGAAUGCGUGGUGUAGCGGUGAAAUGCAUAGAUAUCACGCAGAACCCCGAUUGCGAAGGCAGCCUGCCGGAGCCCGACUGACGCUGAGGCACGAAAGUGCGGGGAUCGAACAGGAUUAGAUACCCCUGUAGUC
rnacentral:rRNA from 1 species